rnacentral:rRNA from 1 species
AGUGAACACUGGCGGUAGGCCUAACACAUGCAAGUCGAACGGCAGCACAGUAAUAGCUUGCUCUUACGGGUGGCGAGUGGCGGACGGGUGAGGAAUACAUCGGAAUCUACUUUUUCGUGGGGGAUAACGUAGCGAAACCUACGCUAAUACCGCAUACGACCUACGGGUGAAAGCAGGGGAUCUUCGGACCUUUCGCGAUUGAAUGAGCCGAUGUCGGAUUAGCUAGUUGGCGGGGUAAAGGCCCACCAAGGCGACGAUCCGUAGCUGGUCUGAGAGGAUGAUCAGCCACACUGGAACUGAGACACGGUCCAGACUCCUACGGGAGGCAGCAGUGGGGGAUGUUGGACAAUGGGCGCAAGCCUGAUACAGCCGUACCGCGUGGGUGAAGAAGGCCUUCGGGUUGUAAAGACCUUUUGUUGGGAAAGAAAAGCAGCAGGUUAAUACCCCGCUGUUCUGACGGUACCCAAAGAAUAAGCACCGGCUAACUUCGUG